GACGAACGCUGGCGGCGUGCUUAACACAUGCAAGUCGAGCGGUAAGGCCCUUCGGGUACGACGAGCGGCGAACGGGUGAGUAACACGUGGGUGACUGCCUCUAGCUCUGGGAUAAGCCUGGGAAACUGGGUCGUAAUACCGGAUAUGACUCCACGGCGCAUGUUGUGGGGUGGAAAGCCUUGUGCGGCUAGAGAUGGGCCCGCGGCCUAUCAGCUUGUUGGUGGGGUGAUGGCCUACCAAGGCGACGACGGGUAGCCGGCCUGAGAGGGCGACCGGCCACACUGGGGACUGAGACACGGCCCAGACUCCUACGGGAGGCAGCAGUGGGGAAUCUUGCGCAAUGGGCGAAAAGCCUGACGCAGCGACGCCGCGUGAGGGA
rnacentral:rRNA from 1 species